rnacentral:misc_RNA from 1 species
AACGCACAUUGCGCCCUUUGGUAUUCCGAAGGGCAUGCCUGUUCGAGCGUCAUUAUCAACCAUCAAGCCUGGCUUGUCGUUGGAUCCCUUUGUCGCCUGGCGACAGAUCCAAAAGAUAAUGACCGGCGUCGUGGUGACCCUAUAUGCAACGAGCUUGUAAGAGCACGCACUUAGUGGUCGUCCGGCUCGGUUGUCACCCUUUAUUUUUUCAAGGUUGACCUCGGAUCAGGUAGGAAUACCCGCUGAACUUAA